GGGCACGACACCGGAGAGGGAGCCUGAGAAACGGCUACCACAUCCAAGGAUGGCAGCAGGCGCGCAAAUUACCCAAUCCCGACACGGGGAGGUAGUGACAAUAAAUAACAAUACGGGGUUCUUUUGGAUCUCGUAAUUGGAAUGAGUACAAUUUAAAUCUCUUAACGAGGAACAAUUGGAGGGCAAGUCUGGUGCCAGCAGCCGCGGUAAUUCCAGCUCCAAUAGCGUAUAUUAAAGUUGUUGCAGUUAAAAAGCUCGUAGUUGAAUUUCGGGGUCAGUAGGAUGGUCGUGCCAAUGGUAUGUACUGGCUUUACUGAUUCCUCCUUCUUGAAGAACUGUAAUGCCAUUAAUUUGGUGUUGCAGGGAAUCAGGACUGUUACUUUGAAAAAAUUAGAGUGUUUAAAGCAGGCUUACGCUUGAAUGCAUUAGCAUGGAAUAAUGAAAUAGGACGUUGAUCUUAUUUUGUUGGUUUCUAGGAU
rnacentral:rRNA from 1 species